rnacentral:rRNA from 1 species
CUAAAUACUCUCUGGUGACCGAUAGUGGACAAGUACCGCGAGGGAAAGGUGAAAAGAACCGCUGUGAGCGGAGUGAAAGAGAACCUGCAACCGUGUGCCGACAAGGUGUCAGAGCCCCGCAAGGGGUGAUGGCGUGCCUUUUGCUUAAUGAGUCUGCGAGUUAUUGUCUGUGGCGUGCCGAAGGGCUUCUGGUCCGGAGGCGGAGCGAAAGCGAGUCCGAAAUGGGCGAACAUAGUCGCAGGCAGUAGACCCGAAGCGGAGGUGAUCUACCCAUGGUCAGGAUGAAGUCCCGGUAACACGGGAUGGAGGUCCGAACUGGUGAGCGUUGAAAAGCUCUCGGAUGAACUGUGGGUAGGAGCGAAAGACUAAUCAAACCCCGUGAUAGCUGGUUCUCCCCGAAAUAGCUUGAGGGCUAGCCUGGCGUGCUGACCCAUGGAGGUAGAGCACUGGAUGGACGAGGGCCCAUACCCGGGUACCGAAUCCAAUCAAACUCCGAAUGCCAUGGGGCGCAGCGCCGGAGUCAGACGGCGGGGGAUAAGCUUCGUCGUCGAGAGGGAAACAGCCCAGACCGUCAGCUAAGGUGCCUAACGACCGCUCAGUGGAAAGGAUGUGGGAUUUCUUAGACAGUGAGGAUGUUGGCUUAGAGGCAGCCAUCAUUUAAACAAAGCGUAACAGCUGACUCAUCGAGAGAUCCCGCGCCGAAAAUGAUUGGCGAUCAAGCGGUCGACCGAAGCUACGGACUCCAUCCCGGUUCGCCGGGGUGGAUUGGUAGGGGAGCGUUCUGUACGCAUCGAAGCGGAAGGGAAACCGACCGUGGAGUGUACGGAAGUGAGGAUGCAGACAUGAGUAGCGAUCAUCCCGGUGAAAUUCCGGGACGCCGUAAACCCAAGGUUUCCUGGGGAAGGUUCGUCCUCCCAGGGUUAGUCGGGUCCUAAGUCGAGGCCGCACGGCGUAGACGAUGGGCAGCAGGUUCAAUAUUCCUGCACCACCGACAUUUAACCGAUGUUGACGCAGAGACGGAGAGGGGCGAGGUGUUGAACGUCCUUGUCCCGCAAGGGGACGCGGAGGCCACGGCCGAAGCGGAUUCCUCAAAGUCCCUGCCGAGAAAACACAUCGGGUAUACUAAGGUGCCCGUACCGUAAACCGACACAGGUGGGUGAGUAGAAUAUACUAAGGUGCGCGAGUGAACCCUCUUCAAGGAACUCGGCAAUCUAACCCCGUAACUUCGGAAGAAGGGGUGCCCGUCGCAAGACGGGUCGCAGAGAAAUGGGCCUACCGACUGUUUAGCAAAAACACAGCACUCUGCUAAGUCGUGAAGACGACGUAUAGGGUGUGACACGUGACCAAUGCCGAAAGAUUACGGUGAGAGGUCACCCAGCCCAUUCAGUCACAGAAAGGAGUUGAGAUCAUGUUCUAUGUGUAUGUGCUCAAGGGGCCGCGCGAGCGGGAUCUUUAUUUCGGCUACACCGCCGAUCUGAAGGCCCGGUACGCGAGCCACCAGCGGAUGCCGCGUCAUCGCGGUUGGAAGCUGGCGUAUUACGAGGCGUACCAAGACAAACGCGAUGCGAUCGAGCGGGAGCGCCGCCUGAAACAUUACGGUUCAGGCCGGGGCCGGCUCAAAAAACGCAUUGCCCGGUCUCUCUCCGAGGGUGGUUGAAUGGGCUGGGGAAGCUUCGAACCCAAGUCCCGGUGAAUGUCGGCCGUAACUAUAACGGUCCUAAGGUAGCGAAAUUCCUUGUCGGGUAAGUUCCGACCUGCACGAAUCGUGUAACGAGUGGGCCGCUGUCUCGAAGAGGCGCUCGGCGAAGUUGUAGUGGCGGUGAAGAUGCCGCCUACCCGCAGUAGGACGGAAAGACCCCGUGCACCUUUACUGUAAGCUGUCGCUGGAUUUUCGUUCGGAAUACUUAGCGUAAGUGGGAGACGUUGAUCCUUGGGUUUCGGCCCAAGGGGAGUCGCCAAUGAAACACCACCUUUUCUUCAUGAAGAUUCUAACCCUUGCCCGUGAUCCGGGCGGGGGACCACGGCAGCGGGUCAGUUUGACUGGGGCGGUUUCCUCCUAAAGAGUAACGGAGGAGUGCUAUGGUUCCCUCAGCAUGGUUGGCAAUCAUGCGUCGAGCGUAUGGGUAGAUGGGAGCCUGACUGCGAGACCUACAAGUCGAGCAGGGACGAAAGUCGGCCCAAGUGAUCCGGUGGUUGAAUGUGGAAUCGCCAUCGCUCAUCGGACAAAAGGUACGCCGGGGAUAACAGGCUGAUCGCGCCCAAGAGUUCAUAUCGACGGCGCGGUUUGGCACCUCGAUGUCGGCUCAUCGCAUCCUGGGGCUGGAGAAGGUCCCAAGGGUCCGGCUGUUCGCCGGUUAAAGCGGUACGCGAGCUGGGUUCAGAACGUCGUGAGACAGUUCGGUCCUUAUCCACUGUGGGCG